AGAUGUUAAAAGCCAGAGACAUGGGAGAGCAUCAUUCCUUUGAGAUUUUAUAACUCAAACCAACUUUGGAGUUGUCUGAUUUGGAGAGUCAUUAUUCUUGGUCUUCGCUCUUAGAGGCCACUGAUGAAGAACAGGCGGUGACUGGGAUGAAUGCUGGUCAGAGAGGAGAAUCUUCUUUCCCCUAAACUGAUGCAGCGGUGGUUUUAAAGAGGGAUGCUGCCCUGGAUGAUGUAGAAGAUGUCACAUGCUGUGCUGAUGGGGUUUCUUCAUGACUACAUCAGUUAUGCUAAAGAGAUCAUGAAAAUUGACCGUGAUGCAUGAUCUGUAUACAUGGACUAUGAAA